rnacentral:rRNA from 1 species
CAUUAAAGAGUUGCAAAACUCCCAAACCAUUUGUUUAUCUACCUGUUUCGUUGCUUCGGCAGGCGGCUCUCCGGGGCCUUUGCUACCUGUAGUGCCUGCCGGAGUAUCCAAAACUCUUGUUAUUUUUGUUCUGUCUGAGUAAACUUUUAAUAGUUAAAACUUUCAACAACGGAUCUCUUGGUUCUGGCAUCGAUGAAGAACGCAGCGAAAUGCGAUAAGUAAUGUGAAUUGCAGAAUUCAGUGAAUCAUCGAAUCUUUGAACGCACAUUGCGCCCAUUAGUAUUCUAGUGGGCAUGCCUGUUCGAGCGUCAUUUCAACCCUCAAGCUCUCUUGCUUGGUGUUGGGGCUUCUGCGGCUUCGGCCGCAGGCCCUGAAAAACAGUGGCGGGCUCGCUAUAACUCCGAGCGUAGUAAUCUCUCUCGCUUUGGAAGUGUAGCGGUUCCCGGCCGUUAAAAACCCCAAUUUCUGAAAUGUUGACCUCGGAUCAGGUAG